rnacentral:rRNA from 1 species
AGCAGCCGCGGUAAUUCCAGCUCCAAUAGCGUAUAUUAAAGUUGUUGCAGUUAAAAAGCUCGUAGUUGAAUUUCGGGGUCAGUAGGCUGGUCGUGCCACAGGUACGCACUGGUCUCACUGAUUCCUCCUUCCUGAUGAACCGUAAUGCCAUUAAUUUGGUGUUGCGGGGAGACUGGACUGUUACUUUGAAAAAUUAGAGUGUUUAAAGCAGGCUAACGCUUGAAUACAUUAGCAUGGAAUAAUGAAAUAGGACGUUCGGUCUUAUUUUGUUGGUUUCUAAGAUUGACGUAAUGAUUAAUAGGGAUAGUUGGGGGCAUUAGUAUUCAAUUGUCAGAGGUGAAAUUCUUGGAUUUAUAGAAGACUAACUACUGCGAAAGCAUUUGCCAAGGAUGUUUUCAUUAAUCAAGAACGAAAGUUAGGGGAUCGAAGACGAUCAGAUACCGUCGUAGUCUUAACCAUAAACUAUGCCGACUAGGGAUCGGAUGAUGUUAAUUUUUAAUGACUCAUUCGGCGCCUUACG